GGAAGUAAAAGUCGUAACAAGGUUUCCGUAGGUGAACCUGCGGAAGGAUCAUUAACGAAUAACUAUGGCGUUGGUUGUAGCUGGCUCCUCGGAGCAAUGUGCACGCCCGCCAUUUUUAUCUUUCCACCUGUGCACCGACUGUAGGUCUGGAUACCUCUCGCCUCCGGGCGGAUGCGAGGGUUGCUCGUAAGGGCUUCCCUUGAACUUCCAGGCUCUACGUCUUUUUACACACCCCAAUAGUAUGAUGCAGAAUGUAGUCAAUGGGCUUCUCAGCCUAUAAAACACUAUACAACUUUCAGCAACGGAUCUCUUGGCUCUCGCAUCGAUGAAGAACGCAGCGAAAUGCGAUAAGUAGGCCCUGGCGGUGCCCUGCCGUUAAACCCCCAACUUCUGAAAAUUUGACCUCGGAUCAGGUAGGAAUACCCGCUGAACUUAAGCAUAUCAAUAAGCGGAGGAAAUGUGAAUUGCAGAAUUCAGUGAAUCAUCGAAUCUUUGAACGCACCUUGCGCUCCUUGGUAUUCCGAGGAGCAUGCCUGUUUGAGUGUCAUUAAAUUCUCAACCUCACCAGUUUUCUGAACUGACUGAGGCUUGGAUGUGGGGGUUUGUGCAGGCUGCCUCACCGGCGGUCUGCUCCCCUGAAAUGCAUUAGCGAGGUUCAUGCUGGACCUCCGUCUAUUGGUGUGAUAAUUAUCUACGCCGUGGACGAGGAUACAGACUCGCUUCUAACCGUCCGCGAGGACAAUACCUUGACAAUUUGACCUCAAAUCAGGUAGGACUACCCGCUGAACUUAAGCAUAUCAAUAAGCGGAGGA
rnacentral:rRNA from 1 species